CCUACGGGAGGCAGCAGUGGGGAAUUUUGGACAAUGGGGGAAACCCUGAUCCAGCCAUCCCGCGUGUGCGAUGAAGGCCUUCGGGUUGUAAAGCACUUUUGUCAGGGAAGAAAAGGUUCUGGCUAAUACCCGGAACUGAUGACGGUACCUGAAGAAUAAGCACCGGCUAACUACGUGCCAGCAGCCGCGGUAAU
rnacentral:rRNA from 1 species